GAUGAACGCUAGCGGGAGGCCUAACACAUGCAAGCCGAGCGGUAUUAUUUCUUCGGAAAUGAGAGAGCGGCGUACGGGUGCGGAACACGUGUGCAACCUGCCUUUAUCUGGGGGAUAGCCUUUCGAAAGGAAGAUUAAUACUCCAUAAUAUAUUGAACGGCAUCGUUUAAUAUUGAAAGCUCCGGCGGAUAGAGAUGGGCACGCGCAAGAUUAGCUAGUUGGUGAGGUAACGGCUCACCAAGGCGAUGAUCUUUAGGGGGCCUGAGAGGGUGAUCCCCCAAACUGGUACUGAGACACGGACCAGACUCCCACGGGAGGCAGCAGUGAGGAAUAUUGGUCAAUGGGUGCAAGCCUGAACCAGCCAUCCCGCGUGAAGGACGACUGCCCUAUGGGUUGUAAACUUCUUUUGUAUAGGGAUAAACCUACUCUCGUGAGGGUAGCUGAAGGUACUAUACGAAUAAGCACCGGCUAAUUCCGUGCCAGCAGCCGCAGUAACAC
rnacentral:rRNA from 1 species